rnacentral:rRNA from 1 species
UACGGAGGGUGCGAGCGUUGUCCGGAAUCACUGGGCGUAAAGGGCGCGUAGGCGGUCCCUUAAGCGUGUGGUGAAAGCUCAGGGCUCAACCCUGAGUCGGCCAUGCGAACUGGGGGACUUGAGCACGGUAGAGGCCAAUGGAAUUCCGGGUGUAGCGGUGGAAUGCGUAGAGAUCCGGAAGAACGCCAAGGGCGAAGGCACUCUGCUAGGCCUGAUUUCGCGACUGACACUCAGGGACGAGAGCCAGGGGAGCGAAUGGG